rnacentral:ncRNA from 1 species
CAAGUUCUGUACGUCGAAGAUGUAGCCGAUCACGACGACCCCGAGUCAUGCGUCGUCAUCCGUGAGGGUGGGGGCGAAGCGUUGACAGGGGCACAUGUGGGCUGGGUAUUGAGCCGCGAAAUGUUGAACAACCGGGACGCCGACGCUGUGGAGAAGUGCGGAAGGCAACACGAGGCAGGGCGCCAUGGCGAGUCCUGCACCGGCCCGGCGUGGUCAGAGACCC